GGAAGGAUCAUUACCGAAUUGUCAAACACGGGUUGUUGCUGGCCCCCGAACGGGGCAUGUGCACGCUCUGUUUACACAUCCACUCACACCUGUGCACCCUCUGUAGUUCUGUGGACCGGGAGACGUCGUCUUCCUUCCGUAGCUCUACGUCUUUACACACACACCGUAGCGAUGUCUCAUGGAAUGUUUUUUCGCGUUUAACGCAAUACAAUACAACUUUCAGCAAC
rnacentral:misc_RNA from 1 species